CAAACAAAUAAACAAACAAAGUUCCCAACCAGGCAGCUGGGAAAUCACAAUAGUUCCUGGGAGUUCCUGACACUAUAACGAUGCUGGUAUCUGAAAGCCUAUUCUAUCAGUUACUGCGGUGGACACAGGAGCUGUUUAUUUGAAGUCCUCACAGACUCAAUCUCAAAUUCCAGAGGAGGAGACAGAUAAACAGAACUUGUAAAGCUGGACCCAGAGAUCAGUACGCUUUUUAGGGAAUUGCGACGAGGACAAACAGUGUAAGAGAGGAGCUCCGGAGAGGUGGAAGGACACCGAGAAACGAGGGGGCGUGGGAAAAGGAAGAGACGAACCUGAGCUGGAGCCAGUCCUGCGUCAACCCUUAUUAGCCCACAACUGGCAAGUAACUUAACCUUUGGGACCCUCAGUUUCUAUGUUUGUAAACCUGCAAAUCUGUUGUAUUAGAGAUAAUGCAUAUCAAGUGCCCAGUGGGCACUCAUCUCCAAUGGGAACGGGAGCAUCACCAUUUCACAGGGGCUGUUUUCUAAUCAAGUCUUAAAGCCUCCUACUCCAGUACUGGAAACGGUAGUAAAAUGACAUCAGGUGGAACAAAGAGCAGUGCAGUUAACUCUUUGUUCCGAGUUUUUGUUCGGAGCGUGACUAGCUCUAUAGGGAGCUCCCAGGACAGUGCCGCCCACAGAAGUUGUCCUUGGUGCAGGCACGUGGAUUCAGUCUCUCCACUUAGCAACAGUGUCUGCCUCAGAAUGAAACCAAAGAGUCCUCCUGCAGUCGAAUGCACCCCCAGGGGCAAAUCCCCCUGGAAGCCUGUCUGAGAGGACCUGUGGGAGGGGUGCACUGCUGCGGUACGCCCGGGUGAGCUGCAAAGGGAAAGCCACAAAGGGAGGGAGGGGCUUCUCCGAGGCUGGUGGGUUUCGGCCUUUCCCUCCCCCUGGUUCCUGUUGGGGGCGCCUGCCCUCCUCUCAUCGUGCCCGGGCUAUUGUUACUGCUUCCUAACUCACUUCCCUGCCUUCCAUCUCUUCACCUACCACUGCGGAGGGACUCUACCCUAUACACUGUCAAAUGAGACAACUGCCCCUCUUUUGCUGGUAACUGCUGACCUCUCAUUAGCAGAUAAAUUGUUCUGAAGCACAGAUCUGAUCUCAUCACUCCUGGGCUUAGAAUGUGGCUGGGUACUUUGUGGUAUUAUCAUCCCCCCCGCAAGCUGGCUGCUUGCCUGCCUGGCUGCCGCCCCCCCCCACCCCGUUACACUUCUGGAGGGCAGGAGUUGCGUCCCCCUCCCCCCCAGUCAGGAGCCCCUGACCACCUUUUCAUGGCGCAUGGGUUACAUCAUCUUCCCUGGUCCAGUUCCAUUAAUCUUCACUCAAUCCCUUCAAAUCGUCCCUUCACUGUUGUGUCUUCUUUCAUGUUGUUUUCUUUGACUAGAACAUUCUUCCUUUGAUGCUUCCUCUAGCAAACUACUCCUGUUAGACAUCCUUCCCCCAGAAGCCCACCCUGAACCCUGAUGAGGCCAGACCCCAGUCUCCUCCCCAUGGCAUCGGAUAAGCCCCUGGGUGGAUGCCCCUGAUAACGUUUUACCAUCAAUGGGAACGUUACCUUAUAACUAACCAAAUCACAUUUAGAAAAAAGAAUAUCUUUUUUUCGUGUUACUUUGCCAUUUAAAGUCUGUUGCAAAACAGGACGACACAAGACGAAAAGAUAACAUUUUGUCUUAAAUCUAAAUGUACCAACCAUACAGCAGAUUUUGUUUGGAGUCAACAUUAUCAAAUUUUUGCUAAGUUUAGCAACUUCUGUUUUUUCUUCUGCUUGAAUUUUAGACGGCAUGAUACUCAUUUUCUUAGUGCGUCUUGAAUAUUGUCAGUUUCAAGUACUUUUAUUUUAGAGAAAGUGUGCCAUACUGUCAGCAUUGGGAAUUCUCGGAAGUGUAGUUGGUACGGAAUGUGCCUAAGAAAGCCUGUAUUCACAUUGUCAGAUGGUUGAUAACUCAGCUGACUCAAAGCUGCAGGGUUCAAAUUUAAUUCGUUAAAAAUUUUAUCAAAGCAAAGUUUCAUUGGUAAUAAUUCGGAUAGAAU